rnacentral:rRNA from 1 species
AAAACGACUCUCGGCAACGGAUAUCUCGGCUCUCGCAUCGAUGAAGAACGUAGCAAAAUGCGAUACCUGGUGUGAAUUGCAGAAUCCCGCGAACCAUCGAGUUUUUGAACGCAAGUUGCGCCCGAGGCCUUCUGGCUGAGGGCACGCCUGCCUGGGCGUCACGC